rnacentral:rRNA from 1 species
AUUUAUUGGGCGUAAAGCGAGCGCAGACGGUUAUUUAAGUCCGAAGUGAAAGCCCACAGCUUAACUGUGGAAGUGCUUGGAAACUGGAUAACUUGAGUGCAGUAGAGGAGAGUGGAACUCCAUGUGUAGCGGUGAAAUGCGUAGAUAUAUGGAAGAACACCAGUGGCGAAGGCGGCUCUCUGGACUGUAACUGACGUUGAGGCUCGAAGGUGGGUAGCAAACAGGAUUAGAUACCUGGUAUCCACACCGUAAACGAUGAGUGCUAGAUGUUUGAGGGUUUCCGCCCUUAAGUGUCGCAGCUAACGCAUUAAGCACUCCGCCUGGGAGUACGACCGCAAGGUUGAAACUCAAAGGAAUUGACGGGACCCGCACAAGCGGUGGAGCAUGUGGUUUAAUUCGAAGCAACGCGAAGAACCUUACCAGGUCUUGACAUCCUUUGACCACUUCAGAGAUGAAGCUUUCCCUUCGGGGACAAAGUGACAGGUGGUGCAUGGUUGUCGUCAGCUCGUGUCGUGAGAUGUUGGGUUAAGUCCCGCAACGAGCGCAACCCUUAUUACUAGUUGCCAGCAUUAGUUGGGCACUCUAGUGAGACUGCCGGUGACAAACCGGAGGAAGGUGGGGAUGACGUCAAAUCAUCAUGCCCCUUAUGACCUGGGCUACACACGUGCUACAAUGGCAAGUACAACGAGCAGCUAACCCGCGAGGGUACGCGAAUCUCUUAAAACUUGUCUCAGUUCGGAUUGUAGGCUGCAACUCGCCUACAUGAAGUCGGAAUCGCUAGUAAUCGCGGAUCAGCACGCCGCGGUGAAUACGUUCCCGGGUCUUGUACACACCGCCCGUCACACCAUGAGAGUUUGUAACACCCAAAGCCGGUGAGGUAACCUUUUAGGAGCCAACCGUCUAAGGUGGGACAGAUGAUUAGGGUGAAGUCGUAACAAGGUAGCCGUAGGAGAACCUGCGGCUGGAUCACCU